AUAUUGGACAAUGGGUGCAACCCUGAUCCAGCCAUCCCGCGUGUGCGAUGAAUGCCUCCGUGUUGUAUAGUACUUUUGGCAGGGAAGAAAAGGCCCUGGUUAAUACCUGGAGCUGCUGACGGUACCUGCAGAAUAAGCACCGGCUACUUACGUGCCAGCAGCCGCGGUAAUACGUAGGGUGCAAGCGUUAAUCGGAAUUACUGGGCGGAAAACGUGCGUAGGCGGUUCGGCAAGAAGGAUGUGAAAUCCCAGGGCUUAACCUUGGAACUGCGUUCUUAACUGCCAGGCUGGAGUAUGUCAGAGGGGGGUAGAAUUCCGCGUGUAGCAGUGAAAUGCGUAGAGAUGCGGAGGAAUACCGAUGGCGAAGGCAGCCCCCUGGGAUAAUACUGACGCUCAUGCACGAAAGCGUGGGGAGCAAAC
rnacentral:rRNA from 1 species